rnacentral:tRNA from 1 species
UACGGUAUAGCCUAGUGGUUAAGGUGCCCGGCUACAAGCCGAAUGAUUCAGGUUCGAUUCCUGAUGCCGUAG